rnacentral:lncRNA from 1 species
UUUCAAGGGUGAAUGAGAUAAAGAGCUUGAGUGACCUCUCAAUUAGGGUCGUCUGGCUGUUUGGAGGAGUGGAUUAGAUGCUGGUGGGAUGUCAGAUUCCUCGCAUGCGGAAGGAAGGAGAGAAAGCAGAGUAGACAACCAGCUGUUUGAUCUGAAGUGCUGCCCACUGGGAAGAUUUUUCUUCACCGCUGUCGUUCAUGGCCAUGACGAACGGGAUGUAGAGCAGUCAUCUGCUUCAGCUGAUAUCGGCAUACAGUUCUGACUCAGCCAGAAACCAGGCGUACUGCUUCUUCUUUCUCCUCUAUUAGCUGGUCAAAAGGUCCCUGCACGCCAGGAAGGGAGAGUAUGGAAGGAACAUGUUUCUAUUGGCAACUCCAACUUACUGGAGGUGCUUAGAAACCACCGCUGAUUUGUCACCAGCUUCUCAGGCACAGAUUAAAAAACAAAGUCUGAAGACAGUUCGAUAGUGUCUACUGAAGCAAAACCUACAGCCGAUCACCCCACCUCUGAAUAUCCACUCAAUUGCCGUGCAUACUCACAUGUUCCAAAAGACACAGAUGAGAAUGCUUAGAGCAGUGUUAUUCGAAAUAGCCCCCAAAUUGGAAACAAUCCAGAUGUUGAUCAAUGGUAGAAUGGAGAGAGAAAUUGUGGUGUAUUUAUACAGUGCAAUACUACACAGUGAUGAAAAAAAUGAACCAUGAACACACACAACAUGGACAAAUCUCACAAACACAACAUUGAGUUAAUAAAGCCAGACACCAGAGGGUAAUAUUGGAUGAUUCCAUUUGCAUGAAGUUCAAAAACAAGUAAAAUUAAUCGACAGUAAUAAAAGGUGAAAGAGUGGUUAUCCUUGGGGGCCUAUGAUGGGGGAGGAGGUAUGAGAGAGGCUUCAGAGUUGCUGGCAAUGUUCAGUCAGGAUGGGGGUUUCAAUGGGCGGGUCCAGUUGGUGAAAAUUCAUUGAGUUGUACAUUUAUGAUUUGUGUACUUUUCUCUACGUGUGCUAUAUUUCCAUAAAAAGCUUACACAAAGUCCUCUAAAAGGUCCUACAUGAUAAUGCCACUCCCUCCCCCCAACACCCUUUUCUGGCUAUACCCCAACUUUGCUCAUUCCACUCUUGUGACACUUUUCUCAUUCCUGUCCAACGCACUACU